AUCUUACAUUAUUGAGUAGUCUUGCUGAGAGAUAUCUCAUCUUUGACAAUGACCCAAGACAAGCACAGGCCAUAAUGCGAAAGAACAGUCCAGUGAACUAGGAUGUUUAUAAACAACCCAGGAACACUUACAUGCAACAGCUACAGAAGAACCACCAAAUUAGGACUAUUCUGGCUCCUAAGAUCAAUUUAAAAGCACAUCUCAACUGUUAUGAAAAUUAUCUAAAUAUGCUUCACACCACCUGCAAGUCCUGUUUAAGACCAGACAAAUCAAAUAGUGUGAAUAAACUUGUAUGAAGUCUGCUAAAGGCUUGCUGCAAAUACUUACUUGGAAGAGUUUGGAAACAUCCUUUGUCAUGACUGUUUUAAACCCAGUCUCAGUACACUGCCUUUAACAUUUAAUGCUGACAACUGGAAAAAUAUAACAAGGCAAAGCUGGAGAAUCUGGUAUUACCAAAUUUGGUUAAUGUCCAGGAAAAUAACAAUAAAGAAGUCAUUAUUUUCA
rnacentral:lncRNA from 1 species